AAUCCUUUGUUGGAUUAUUAAACUGUGCCAUAACAGGGUGAACUUUCGGCUCGAAUUGUUAUUUUCUUAGAUGAGAUAAAAAUCUGGGAGACUGAGGAGGAAGCAAAAGUCAGAAAAGUCAGACCAAAUGUACACUUCUAGGGAGUUAAAACCCAGACAAGGAAUUUUCUCGGUUGCUGCUUGUAAAUUUGGAAAAGAGAGAGAGAGAGAGAGAGAGAAAUUUAACCAGUUUAUAGUGACACUGCAGAUGGAGUUGAUUAUCACUCAUUACCUGAUGGGCAGAUAAUGGAUUCUGACAAUUUGCAGGGCUGUAGAGAAAAACUGAUAAGAAAAAGGAAAUAAAGCAGGAGAGAGUGGCAUACAAAGACGAAUACUGUACACUUGUUGAGCUGGGACUGACUAAAUCAGAGAAGCCUGAUCUGGCUUUUCCAUUAUACAACGUUAUAUUUCCUGGUACACAUCAUUAACUUGGGAAAUGUUUAUUUUCUGGUUAAAACACAAAAUAGCAGGGCAACUGAAAGGGAGAACGCUGUGGGUAAAAGGGCACGAUCCAUACCCAGCAGAUGAGAAAGACGCGUCCUUUUAAAGUCUGGAUCGCUCCCUCCCCUUCCUGGCAGCGCCCUGUUGGGGCAACGAGAGGGAAGGGAAGGGAAGGGGGGCGAGGUGUGCCUCGGGCGACUCCCUCGAUGCUGCCAAGGCUCCACCCUGCUCGGCCCGGGUGGCUCCCGCAGGCAUCGCGGUCGCCUCUCUUUCGAGGCGCGAGGGAUCCAGGCGUCCUGCGGAGCUUCCCCUGCUCCCGCUCCCGCUCCCGCCCGCCCGCCUCCCGGCUUCGCGAAGAAGCCCUGCGAUGGGGAGGCAGGAAGGGGCUCCGAGCUCCGUUCGGGGUCCUCCUGGAUGGAAAGGUUCCCGGCAGGCAGCAUUCCUGACAGUUGCCAUCCUGACUUCUCCGACCCUGAUGGCUCCACAAAACCAGCACUCCUCCAUCACUAGAAUUUUGGUCACGGCGCAGCCAUCAAAUCCCAUACAAGAAGGAGGGAACGUCACUUUAAUCCCAGGAAUGAGCUCAACACAUUUUUCAAGAUGCAUCUGGUACCGAGAAAGGGCCGGGAAUGCAAAGGAAAUGAUCAUAGCCCAUGAAAAAGGCCCAUUUGCAUUGUUUUUAACUGGAGAUGCAUUCACAGGGAGGGUGACCAUGGUCGCAGGCUGCUCCAUUUACAUCGAAUCUUUAGCACAAGCGGAUACUGGCAUGUAUACAAUCGACCUGGACGAAGCUGGGGAGUUUUUGGCAACAGGCCAUGUGAAAAUAGAGGUGGUAGGUCAUGCUUCUUCUGACUGGAGCGCUCCCCCCAGGCAAAACGAAGACAUCGUGACAAUUGUGGUUGGUGCCUUCUGUGCGGUAAUAGUAGUUGGCAUUGGAAUCGUGCUUUUCUUCUGGAUCUGUUUUAGACGUCUGAAGAACAGGAGACCUACCGGUGUGGUCAUCACACCAUCCGCGCCUCCACCUCGACCUCCAACUCCACCUCCAUCUUAUGAAAAUAUUUUCCCUUUGGGACAGGUCAGUCCUACAUCUCCCCCUGCAAACACAGGUGAGAUCGGUGGAAUAAUGCAUCCCUCUCUCCCAAAGGAUAACUGACCCAGCAGAAGCCAAGGAAAAGACUGAAGUCAAAUUAUAUGUUACAGCUAACAUGUCCUCAGAAGGCAAGUUGUCUCACAUGCAGAAGUCUGAUUGUCACAGUAGAGGAUUUCCAAUGCAACACUAUCAUUUGCCUAAUAUCUAUUAUUUGGCUGGCAUUGCUCGUCCAGAAUUACAUAAAGAGGUGCUGGAAAAUAAUGAAUAAAAUAAGGUAAUACAGCUCCGAAACCA
ensembl:lncRNA uncharacterized LOC110089447